rnacentral:rRNA from 1 species
CCUACGGGUGGCUGCAGUGAGGAAUAUUGGUCAAUGGGCGCGAGCCUGAACCAGCCAAGUAGCGUGAAGGAUGACUGCCCUACGGGUUGUAAACUUUUUUUAUAAAGGAAUAAAGUGAGGCACGUGUGCCUUUUUGUAUGUACUUUAUGAAUAAGGAUCGGCUCACUCCGUGCCAGCAGCCGCGGUAAUACGGAGGAGCCGAGCGUUAUCCGGAUUUAUUGGGUUUAAAGGGAGCGUAGAUGGGUUGUUAAGUCAGUUGUGAAAGUUUGCGGCUUAACCGUAAAAUUGCAAUUGAUACUGGCAUCCGUGAGUACAGUAGAGGAAAGCGGAAUUCGUGGUGUAGCGGUGAAAUGCUUAGAUAUCACGAAGAACUCCGAUUGCGAAGGCAGCUUACUAAACUGCAACUGACAUUGAUGCUCGAAAGUGUGGGUAUCAAACAGGAUUAGAUACCCUUGUAGUC